GAUGAACGCUGGCGGCGUGCCUAAUACAUGCAAGUCGAGCGAACGGACGAGAAGCUUGCUUUUCUGAUGUUAGCGGCGGACGGGUGAGUAACACGUGGAUAACCUACCUAUAAGACUGGGAUAACUUCGGGAAACCGGAGCUAAUACCGGAUAAUAUUUUGAACCGCAUGGUUCAAAAGUGAAAGACGGUCUUGCUGUCACUUAUAGAUGGAUCCGCGCUGCAUUAGCUAGUUGGUAAGGUAACGGCUUACCAAGGCAACGAUGCAUAGCCGACCUGAGAGGGUGAUCGGCCACACUGGAACUGAGACACGGUCCAGACGCCUACGGGAGGCAGCAGUAGGGAAUCUUCCGCAAUGGGCGAAAGCCUGGCGGAGCAACGCCGCGUGAGUGAUGAAGGUCUUCGGAUCGUAAAACUCUGUUAUUAGGGAAGAACAUAUGUGUAAGUAACUGUGCACAUCUUGACGGUACCUAAUCAGAAAGCCACGGCUAACUACGUG
rnacentral:rRNA from 1 species